GAACUAUUUCCCAAAACGAUUGCAGAAAGUGCAGUUUGAAUUUCCAGCAAAACUUUCAGCUCAAAACUGAAAACAUAAAGAAAGUUUUGCUCAGUUUUCAUAUCAGGCUGCAGAAAGUUGCGAAGAGAGAUGGAAUCAAUCUACAACGUCGCAGCAGCAAAUUUUUCCUCUGUUGAAGCUGACAAUGGAGUCGAUGCUAGGGUGGUCGCAGUAGCCGCAGGAGUCUCCGCGGUAUCCCUUUUGAGCCAAAUUCCCAUCAUCCCCAUUGGCUUAGGUCUGGAAGGUAAUUUCUCAGCCAAGACUUUGAUGGUGGUUCAAGCGGUGUCUGAAAUGGUUCGAAGAGCAACUGCUACUUACCUUGCGCUUUGUGGAUCUAUAGAUUUGCAGUCAUGUGUGGCGUACAUCUCUCAGAUAUCAUGCAAACUAUCUCUUUACCUGAUCUUCAUUGUCAUGAUCAUGCCUGACUGGAUG